AUACGGAGGAUCCGAGCGUUAUCCGGAUUUAUUGGGUUUAAAGGGAGCGUAGAUGGAUGUUUAAGUCAGUUGUGAAAGUUUGCGGCUCAACCGUAAAAUUGCAGUUGAUACUGGAUAUCUUGAGUGCAGUUGAGGCAGGCGGAAUUCGUGGUGUAGCGGUGAAAUGCUUAGAUAUCACGAAGAACUCCGAUUGCGAAGGCAGCCUGCUAAGCUGCAACUGACAUUGAGGCUCGAAAGUGUGGGUAUCAAACAGGAUUAGAUACCCUGGUAGUCCACACGGUAAACGAUGAAUACUCGCUGUUUGCGAUAUACGGCAAGCGGCCAAACGAAAGCGUUAAGUAUUCCACCUGGGGAGUACGCCGGCAACGGUGAAACUCAAAUGAAUUGACGGGG
rnacentral:rRNA from 1 species